rnacentral:rRNA from 1 species
UUCAGCAUUUGGUCUGCCCUUCUCUGAUCUUGGAACAUAAGCAGGGACAAUCCUGGUUAGUACUUUGAUUGGAGACAGCUUGAGAAUACCGAGUACUGUGGGAA